CACCAGAGAUCCACUCUUCCAUCUCUUGCACUCUGUUGGUUAUGCUUGCAUUUGUAGUUCCUGUUCAUUUAUUCAGAUUUACACUUCCAGCAUUUCCUCAGUUUGUGUCUUCUUUGUCUCCAUUUCAGUCGUGCAGCAGACCUGCAGGCAGAUCAGACUACCACCAUCCCCCAUGAGACCCUGUAACCAAGCCCCACCUCCCCCCAUCCCACCCAUUCUUCAAGACUGCAACUGUUCCCUGAGACAGAGAUGGCCAAGACCCGAUUGGACUAAGAGACACAGACACCGCUUGCACCAAGUGGAGAAAGAGAUGGAUAGAGGCCAGUGCAAAAGUACAGUCAACAACAAAAAACACACCAUGGUUCCAUCAGAACCUACACCAGCAAGACCUGAACAUCCCAAAACAGAGGAAACAGAAGAAAUCGACCUUAAAAAAUGAUCUUAAGAAGAUGUUAGAGAUCUUUAAAGAGGAAAUGAAAAAUUCCCUUAAAGAAUUAGAGGAAAAGUCAAACAAAAAUGGGAAGCAAUCAGUAAAUCCCUUGAAAGCCAAGAGAAAGCAAUUAAAUAUUUGAGGGAAACAGCUCAA